rnacentral:rRNA from 1 species
UACGUAGGUGGCGAGCGUUGUCCGGAAUUACUGGGCGUAAAGCGCGUGUAGGCAGAUGAGCAAGUCUGCUGUGAAAGCUCCUGGCUUAACCGGGAGUGGUCGGUGGAAACUGCUCGUCUGGAGGACGGUAGAGGUAGGUAGAAUUCCCGGUGUAGUGGUGAAAUGCGUAGAGAUCGGGAGGAAUACCUGUGGCGAAGGCGGCCUACUGGGCCGGACCUGACGCUGAGACGCGAAGGCGUGGGGAGCGAACGGG